rnacentral:rRNA from 1 species
GAUGAACGCUGGCGGCGUGCCUAAUACAUGCAAGUCGAGCGAACAGACGAGGAGCUUGCUCCUCUGACGUUAGCGGCGGACGGGUGAGUAACACGUGGAUAACCUACCUAUAAGACUGGGAUAACUUCGGGAAACCGGAGCUAAUACCGGAUAAUAUAUUGAACCGCAUGGUUCAAUAGUGAAAGACGGUUUUGCUGUCACUUAUAGAUGGAUCCGCGCCGCAUUAGCUAGUUGGUAAGGUAACGGCUUACCAAGGCAACGAUGCGUAGCCGACCUGAGAGGGUGGUCGGCCACACUGGAACUGAGACACGGUCCAGACUCCUACGGGAGGCAGCAGUAGGGAAUCUUCCGCAAUGGGCGAAAGCCUGACGGAGCAACGCCGCGUGAGUGAUGAAGGUCUUCGGAUCGGGAAACUCUGUUAUUAGGGAAGAACAAAUGUGUAAGUAACUAUGCACGUCUUGACGGUACCUAAUCAGAAAGCCACGGCUAACUACGUG